AGCAGCCGCGGUAAUUCCAGCUCCAAUAGCGUAUAUUAAAGUUGUUGCAGUUAAAAAGCUCGUAGUUGAAUUUCAGGCCUGGCUGGACGGUCCGCCCUUCGGGUGAGUACUGUCUGUGGUCGGGUCCUACCUUCUGGCGAAGCGUCAUGGCCUUAACCGGCCGUGGCGGGGAACCAGGACUUUUACUGUGAAAAAAUUAGAGUGUUCAAAGCAGGCAAUCGCUUGGAUACAUUAGCAUGGAAUAAUGGAAUAGGACAAUGGUUCUAUUUGUUGGUUUCUAGGACCGUUGUAAUGAUUAAUAGGGAUAGUUGGGGGCAUUAGUAUUCAAUUGUCAGAGGUGAAAUUCUUGGAUUUAUUGAAGACUAACUACUGCGAAAGCAUUUGCCAAGGAUGUUUUCAUUAAUCAAGAACGAAAGUUAGGGGAUCGAAGACGAUCAGAUACCGUCGUAGUCUUAACCAUAAACUAUGCCGACUAGGAAUCGGGCGAUGUUGACAAAAUGACGCGCUCGGCACCUCAUAA
rnacentral:rRNA from 1 species